rnacentral:tRNA from 1 species
AAAGGACUAGUUAAACUAUAACAUUAAAUUGUCAAAUUAAAAUUACUACCAGUGUCCUUUA